CGUAAGGGUGACUGCGGAGGAUCAUUAUCGAGUUUUGACUGGGUUGUAGCUGGCCUUACGAGGCAUGUGCACGCCUUGCUCAUCCACUCUACACCUGUGCACUUACUGUGGGUUUUGGAUUGUGAAGCCGAAGGGACGCAAGCCUCUUUGGUGCAAUGAUCUGGGCCUACGUUUAUCACAAACUCAUUUAAAGUAUCAGAAUGUAUAUUGCGAUAUAACGCAUUUUAAUACAACUUUCAGCAACGGAUCUCUUGGCUCUCGCAUCGAUGAAGAACGCAGCGAAAUGCGAUAAGUAAUGUGAAUUGCAGAAUUCAGUGAAUCAUCGAAUCUUUGAACGCACCUUGCGCUCCUUGGUAUUCCGAGGAGCAUGCCUGUUUGAGUGUCAUGAAAUCUUCAACCUAUAAAUCUUUGCGGAUUUGAUAGGCUUGGACUUGGAGGUUAUUGUCGGUUCUAGCGGAUCGGCUCCUCUUAAAUGCAUUAGCUUGGUUCCUUGUGGAUCGGCUGUCGGUGUGAUAAUUGUCUACGCCGCGACCGUGAAGCGUUUGGCGAGCUUCUAAUCGUCUCAAUGGAGACAAUCUUUUAUGACCUCUGACCUCAAAUCAGGUAGGACUACCCGCUGAACUUAAGCAUAUCAAAAAGGGGGGAAAAAA
rnacentral:rRNA from 1 species